rnacentral:lncRNA from 1 species
UUUUUUUGAUAAAACAUGCAAGCAUCAUCGACCACUGACAUGAAAAGGACAAAUAAAAUACUUCCGUUACUUUGAAAAUGACCUCAGGCUCAAAUUCAUACAUAUCAUUAGAUAAGCUUAUCAGAACUGAAUUCCCUGACUAACCAUUUACAUCAUCUCCACACUUCUGCUUCUGUUCUUUCAAUACGGAAUGUUUACGUUGCAUACUGUUGACGCUUUUCAAAUAAGCUAGCAUGUGAAAAGUAGUAGCACCAGUGCAGUAAAAAAGGCCAGCUAGUUACUGAACUGGCCGUGCAUGUACAAAGUACAUAAGCACUGAAUGUUCAACGCCACAUACGCCCCAAACAUUUUCUCUUCUUCUGCCUCUAGUGCGCCCUGAUCGAUCGCUUUAUCAAGAUAGAUACUGCCACAACCUCAUCCACCUCACAAAGUAAAACCUGUCAUCACCGGCAAGACAGCUAAGCAAAGUAAUUCGUUAGUUCUUGAACCAAGAUCCUAAGCUUGGAGAGCCCUUCAAACUGAACCAAAACAAUUGAACCUUCGCCAACAAAUUUUCCAUACAUACAUGCAUACCUAGCUAAUGCACCUGCACUAACAGAAGAACAUAAGAAAACAUCAAUGAAUAACUAUUCAGAAGUCAACAGCUGAGAACCCAGGGAUCUAAAUAAGACGUGUGCACAGAUCCCAUUUUUAUGUCUAGGUAGGCAAUUAUACAAGAAACAAAAUGAGAUGGGUAUGGCUAAAAGCAUAAGAGCAUAGUGCAGAUUCCUCUAACAAAAUACAAAUGCCUAACAAAUUUUCCAUACAUACAUGCAUACCUAGCUAAUGCACCUGCGCUAACAGAAGAACAUAAGAAAACAUCAAUGAAUAACUAUUCAGAAGUCAACAUGGCUGAGAACCCAGAGAUCUAAAUAAGAAGUGUGCACAGAUCCCAUUUUUAUGCCUAGAUAGGCAAUUAUACAAGAAACAAAAUGAGAUGGGUAUGGCUAAAGCAUAAGAGCAUAGUAUAGAUUCCUCUAAGAAAAUACAGAUGCCUAGGUAAGCAAUUCUGAUGCUCUGAUGCGGAGCAUCGGGGACAUCAUCAUGUCAAGAGUUCCUUCGGCGGGUGACUCGUGCGACAUCUACUUCACAUACACAAAGGUGAAUCAUCUCCUAUACACGUGCUCAUUUGACCCCUUCGAGGAUGGUAUACUACUUGACACUCCACUCGUGUGCAUGCAUAGGUAUUGUCGAAACACUACGGACGACGACGAGGAGUGCAAGCGCCAAGGAACAAUUACACCAUCCGCGAGGGAAGCCUGGAAGCGACGACGGAAGAAGACGGAGCUGCUGAAGCUAUAGCGGCCGGACAUCCGGGCCAGAGGCCGGACAUCCGGCGCCAACCCCGGACAUCCGGCGCCUCCCGACAGCCCGGACAUCCGGCAUCUCCCGCGGAAAUCCGGCACCGACGUAUCCAGAGAGCAGCUGAACCUCCACUUCAGCCCGGACAUCCGGCCGCGACCCCGGACAUCCGGCUCGUCCCGAAGCCCCGGACAUCCGGCCCCCAGCCCGGACGUCCGGCACCUGCGUGUGCCUAACCGGGCCAAAGGCCCAUGUAUCCCCUCCUCACUUACUCCUUCGUGGCUCUAGACUAUAUAUACUCCUCCACCUCCUUCUAGUUAGACUAUAUAUAUACUCCUCCACCUUCUUCUAGUUAGGGUUAGUGUUGUGAUAGCUCGUUUGAGAGAUAGAGCUUCGCUCAUCCAUAUCGGAUCUACUCCACGAGAGAGACCGCGGCCCCUCUACGGAGAAGAUCUACCUUGGAUUCAAGACCCCUCACGGGAAGAUCCCCUUGUGGAUUCAAGACCUCCUCACGGAGAAGAACCGGUUACCUCUUGUAUCGUCCGUUGUUGACUUUGGAUCUUGUAUCUCUCUUUGUGUUUCGAGAAUCUAGCACAUGUGUG